UGACCGCUUUCCUCCGGAAAGCUAAGGCUACACGGACGGCCGGGUCAAAUGCCGA
rnacentral:sRNA from 19 species